CAAGAUAAAAGGAAACAGAGCGCCACAAUCACUAUAUAGGUGAUAUAAUAGGGUUAAAAGAAAAUAAAUAAAUUGACAAAGAAAAAAAUAUAAGGAUAAAAAAUAACAGAAAAAUGUAUUAAUUAUAGAAUAUCAAUAUUGACAGCACAGAACAUGUGCAAUAUAAAAUGCCACAAUAGGCUAAAGAAGACCCUUAGGUACAGCAGUUAAAAAACAAUAAAGUACUGGAUGUGCAAAGUGCAAGUGCCUAUGUGCAAAUGUAC